rnacentral:rRNA from 1 species
UACGGAGGAUCCAAGCGUUGUCCGGAUUUAUUGGGUUUAAAGGGUACGUAGGCGGUCCAUUAAGUCAGAGGUGAAAGCCGGCAGCUCAACUGUCGAACUGCCUUUGAUACUGGCGGACUUGAGUAUUGAUGAGGUAAGCGGAAUUGGUAGUGUAGCGGUGAAAUGCAUAGAUACUACCAGGAACACCGAUUGCGAAGGCAGCUUACUGGGCAAUAACUGACGCUGAGGUACGAAAGUGCGGGGAUCAAACAGG